AUUGAACGCUGGCGGCAGGCCUAACACAUGCAAGUCGAGCGGAUGAAGGGAGCUUGCUCCUGGAUUCAGCGGCGGACGGGUGAGUAAUGCCUAGGAAUCUGCCUGGUAGUGGGGGAUAACGUCCGGAAACGGGCGCUAAUACCGCAUACGUCCUGAGGGAGAAAGUGGGGGAUCUUCGGACCUCACGCUAUCAGAUGAGCCUAGGUCGGAUUAGCUAGUUGGUGGGGUAAAGGCCUACCAAGGCGACGAUCCGUAACUGGUCUGAGAGGAUGAUCAGUCACACUGGAACUGAGACACGGUCCAGACUCCUACGGGAGGCAGCAGUGGGGAAUAUUGGACAAUGGGCGAAAGCCUGAUCCAGCCAUGCCGCGUGUGUGAAGAAGGUCUUCGGAUUGUAAAGCACUUUAAGUUGGGAGGAAGGGCAGUAAGUUAAUACCUUGCUGUUUUGACGAUACCAACAGAAUAAGCACCGGCUAAUUUCGUG
rnacentral:rRNA from 1 species